rfam:Bombyx mori DNA, contig: Bm_scaf53_contig27086, strain: p50T/Dazao, build 2, whole genome shotgun sequence.
UUAACUCAAAUUUGUGUGGAGUCGGAACAGUUUCCCUUAUCUGCCGCUAGGGGCGCUGCUCCAACUGCAUAAAAAAUUGAGUUA